UGGGGAAUAUUGCACAAUGGGCGAAAGCCUGAUGCAGCAACGCCGCGUGAGUGAUGAAGGCCUUCGGGUUGUAAAGCUCUGUCUUUUGGGACGAUAAUGACGGUACCAAAGGAGGAAGCCACGGCUAACUACGUGCCAGCAGCCGCGGUAAUACGUAGGUGGCAAGCGUUGUCCGGAUUUACUGGGCGUAAAGGAUGCGUAGACGGAUUUUUAAGUGAGAUGUGAAAUACCCGGGCUUAACUUGGGUGCUGCAUUUCAAACUGGGAAUCUAGAGUGCGGGAGAGGAGAAUGGAAUUCCUAGUGUAGCGGUGAAAUGCGUAGAGAUUAGGAAGAACACCAGUGGCGAAGGCGAUUCUCUGGACCGUAACUGACGCUGAGGCAUGAAAGCGUGGGUAGCAAACAGGAUUAGAUACCCCCGGUAGUCCACGCCGUAAACGAUGAGUACUAGGUGUAGGAGGUAUCGACCCCUUCUGUGCCGCAGUUAACACAAUAAGUACUCCGCCUGGGAAGUACGAUCGCAAGAUUAAAACUUAAAGG
rnacentral:rRNA from 1 species